GAGUUUGAUCGUGGCUCAGGAUGAACGCUGGCGGCGUGCCUAACACAUGCAAGUCGAACGAAGCAAUCGGGAUGAAGUUUUCGGAUGGAUUCCUGGUUGACUGAGUGGCGGACGGGUGAGUAACGCGUGGAUAACCUGCCCCCACACUGGGGGAUAACAGUUAGAAAUGGCUGCUAAUACCGCAUAAGCGCACAGUACCGCAUGGUAC
rnacentral:rRNA from 1 species